rnacentral:ncRNA from 1 species
GACUUAUCAAGAGAGGCGGAGGGAAUGGCCCGAUGAAGCCCAGCAACCUGAGAAAUUAAGGUGCUAAAUCCAUCAGUAUUAAGCUGAAAGAUGAGGA